rnacentral:lncRNA from 1 species
CAGAAGCCUAGAUAAAGAAACAAGAUUUCAGGCAGGAAGAAAUAAUAAAGAGGCAGGACUUCAAGUGUCCUGUGAAACACAACAUUCGGCCUCCGGCACACACAUCCGUGGGAGACGGCUCAACUUCUUUAUAAAGUGAGGAACCAAAUUGUGAAGACAUCUGUUCUGUUAUUAAUUUCACAUACAUCUUAAGCUCCUCAAGGCCAGAAAUGAGGCUUCAUUCACGUCGAAUUAAUGAAACAUGAUUGUCCAGAUGUCCAUCCAGGAAUAAACUCCACUGCAUGGAGCCCCAUGGUGAGACGGACUGCAGGCUUGCAGCCCCACACCUAUGCACCGGCAACGUGCCCCCAGGAACACAGGACCAACUCCAAAUUUGGGAAUGAAGAUAAUGUUCAGGGGAACACAGGACCAACUCCAAAUUUGGGAAUGAAGAUAAUGUUCAGCAGCUACAUUUUCACCCCAUCCCGGGCUCCAUGUUCCUGCUGCACACACAUCAAGAAUGCUGCUAAUUUCAGCGUCUGCCUUCCAGACCCAGACGUCAAAACAACUACCUUUCAUCUCAGCAAACUACUAUGUUGUGAGCAGCCCAAUGGAGAGGCCCACAAGACAACGAACUGAAGCCUCCAGCAACAACCCUGUGAGGCUGGAACUGCCCAUAAAGGCUGGCACCCCAGCAGCCACCUUGAGAAAUGCAGUGAUGAUGCUGAGUGGCAAGGCAGAAGGCACAGGGUCCCUGCACCUGAGGAUUGCUGCUCCAAACCUGGGCCACCAGCCUGAAGAUCCCGCCAGGGAGAAAUAAAGCUCUGUUUUGCUGAA